rnacentral:rRNA from 1 species
GAUGAACGCUGGCGGCGUGCUUAACACAUGCAAGUCGAACGAUGAAGCCCAGUUUGCCGGGUGGAUUAGUGGCGAACGGGUGAGUAACACGUGAGUACCUUGCCCUUGACUCUGGGAUACGCCUGGGAAACUGGGUCUAUUACUGGAUAUGACUUCUCAUCGCAUGGUGGGGGGUGGAGAGAUCUAUUGGUUUUGGAUGGACUUGCGGCCUAUCAGCUUGUUGGUGAGGUAAUGGCUCACAAAGGCGACGACGGGUAGCCGGCCUGAGAGGGUGACCGGCCACACUGGGACUGAGAGACGGCCCAGACUCCUACGGGGGGCAGCAGUGGGGAAUAUUGCACAAUGGGCGCAAGCCUGAUGCAGCGGCGCCGCGUGAGGGAUGACGGCCUUCGGGUUGUAAACCUCUUUCUGUAAGGAAGAAGCGAGAGUGACGGUACCUGCAGAAGAAGCGCCGGCUAACUACGUG